UCUAUGCUGAGUUUUACAGGAUUACUCAAACCAACCUCAAAGAUACCUUCUCUUUUUCGGAUGAAUACGCUAUCAAGUUUUAUGGAUCAUGUGGUGGGCGAUAUGGAGAGAUAAUAAGGACCGCCCUGGACCAACUGGACAAUCAAGACACAGAGCCAGAAGAUAUUUGCACAAAAGAGAUGGAGAUGGACAUCCUUAGCACUGUUGAAGAUGAUGUUGCCACUCUUCAGACCAACCUAAAUGUAAGGUGCCUGUCUGUGGUUCUGGGAGAGCAAAUCAUGCUGGUAAAGAUCUUCCGACAGCUGUUGUUCUCCUCUUUGGUUUGAUUAAUUUCCUCAUUAUGAACUACCCCAAAGAACUGAAACACAUCUUUGAAACUAUUCAGAAAGUGUUUAUUGGCCUUGAUCCUCAGUGCUCAGCAAGAGUCCAGUCUUUCAAAAACAAAAUGAAUUUGUUUGUACACUGAAAUAGUGUUACUCUUGGUGUUGUCACCAAACUUAAAUUCAGUUUUGAUUUUACAUUUUCAAAUUUUAAAAACAUCCAUUUCCCACCAAUUGAUAGAUUGGCUGUUGUGUUCAAGCGCUCAACAUAAAUGACUGUGAUUGGCUGAGAAGUUCACCAUUUCACUGCUCUUCACUGAUGUUCAUGGAGUGCAAACACAGAUACACACACACACACACACACACACACACACACACACACACACACACACACACACACACACACACACACACACACACAAACUGGAGUGUUUCAAAACCAAAACGUCGCAUAGUCGAUCCAUCAGCGUAACACUUGUGUCAGCUUAUACACAGACCAGUUGAUCAAUGUGAAAUUCUUAAGUGUCCCUGUAUCUGUGGUUACACUCAGUAAACAGCAGUGAGUUUGGUGAACUGAUGAUCUUCACGCCCAAUCAGUCUUUUCUGUUGAGCAUGUGAACACAAUGGCAAUAUAACAGUGUUUAAAACAUGGUCAACAACGCUCAAAUGUUAGCAGGAAAUGGACGUUUUUAAAAUUAUAGAACUGAUGGGUAACAAAAUUAAAAUAUCGUGACAAAACUAAUUACUUUUGCACUUUGAAAAAAAAUGUUGAUGGUGCAAGCAUUUUAAAUAUUACUUUUGCUUAACUCGAGCACUUAAAAGGCAAUAUAGGAUUUGAGGAUUUACCUUUUUGUUGCCUCUUUUCCUUCACUGGACUGCAGUACAUUUCAUUUGGACAGAAAGCUGUUUGCAGAAUUGUCAAUAAAUAUAUUCUUUGAUAUUGUG